UUUGUUAAAAAUUGUUUUCUAUUUUUAUAAGCUUAAUAACUAGCUUGUUUAUAUGUUUAUUUUUACAUGAAUAUAUACAUAUGCAUUAGUUUCCAUAUCUAGCUAGUUUUUUUUUUUUUUUUUUUUUUUUUUUUUUUUUUUUUUUAUNNNNNNNNNNNNNNNNNNNNNNNNNNNNNNNNNNNNNNNNNNNNNNNNNNNNNNNNNNNNNNNNNNNNNNNNNNNNNNNNNNNNNNNNNNNNNNNNNNNNUUUUUUUUUUUUUUUUUUUUUUUUUUUUUUUUUUCAAUCAAUUAGCUACAUUUGUUUAUUAUUAUACUGAAUAAUUCAGAUAAAUAUACAUAGCUACUUCAUUAUUUUUUUUUUUUUUUUUUUUUUUCCCCAAUUAGUUAAUUAAUUUUUGUUACAAUAAUUCUUGUUUCCAUACAAAAUUAUUCAUUACAAUUUUUUGAACGUCCUAGUUUAUAAAAAUGUUAUAUUUAUUUAUAUUAAAAAUUAUAUAUAUAUAUAUAUAUAAAUAUUUAUAUAUGUUUAUAGGUAUACAUGUAUUUAAUAUUUGUAUGUUUUCAUGACUUUGUUUUAAAAAUUAAAUAAAGCAUUAUAUAUAUAUAUAUAUAUAUAUGUAUGUAUGUAUAAUAUAUACAACAUAAAAUUAAUUGUUAAAAAAAAAAAAAAAAAAAAAAAAUAAAUAAAAACUUUGUUUAUUUAUUUACCAAUAAUAGAUAAACAUUUUAUACAUUUUUGCCUAUUUUUUUAAUAUUCCGUGAUUUUGUAACAGUUGUUUAUUAUAAUAUUCCAUAUGUAACAUUUUAGUGUUAAUAAAAACAAACAUUGACGCAUUCAUUCACACACAUAUACAUAUAAUCUUAUUAAAUCAUGUAUAUAAAUUAGUAGUGUUCUUUAUUUUUGUUUAAUUGUUGUUCUUAACACUCUUAAUAUUACAAAUAUUUGCUUAAUAUUUUUAUUUGUUAUAUUACUAACCUAUGCUUGUGUACUCUUGAAAUAUUAUUGUUUUAUGAAUUAUGUGUAGAUAUAUUUUUAACAUAUUUGCAUUAUUUUUGAAACAAAAAAUUAUGAAACAUUGUUAUAAUUUUACAUUGUUUUUUUUGCUUUGGAAUAUAUAUUUAGAAUGGACUUUGUUUUUUUAACACAUUAUAUUUUAUUUUUAAAUAUAUAUAAUAGUACAAUUUUUAUUUUCAUCAUUAUUUCAAUGUUUAAUUUUGUUAUAAACAUAUAUACAUAAAUAAAAUUUUGCUUCAUAUUAUUGUUUACAAUGUAAUUAGAUUAUAUUGUUACAUAUAUUGCAUUUUUUUUUAAUUUGUUAAACUUAAAAUUACAUAAUGUUUAAUCAAAAUUAUGAAUGUGGCGUGUUUCGUUUUUGAGAAGCAGCAAUUCAUUUUAUUUUUUUAAAAUCCAUUUAUUUAUAUAUACGUGCUUACAUAUAUACAUAUAUACAUGCUUUAAUAUAUACAUAUAUACAUGCUUAAAUAUAUACAUAUAUACAUGCUUAAAUAUAUACAUAUAUACAUGCUUUAAUAUAUAUAUACAUUCACACUAUGUUGAAUUGGUUUAUUUGCCGAUUUAUAUAUUUAUUUAUUUAUUUCUUUGUCUGUAUAUUAUUUUGUUAGCUUAUUCGUUUAGGUAUUUGUCUUUUUGUUUGUUCAUUCGUUUACGUGUUUUUUUUUAUUUAUUUACUCGUUUGUUUGUUUUUUUAAUUGAAUGAACAAUGCGUAUAUAUGUGUUUACUUUUUUAAAGGUCAAGAGAACGUAUAGUGAAGUAAUAAUAUGAUAUUAUUUAGAACCACCUUAUACGUAUAUACAUAAAAAAUAAAAAAAUAAAAAAUAGGUAACAUUAAUGAAAAAAUGAAAAUGUGUGAUUAUAAUUGCAGCAUAUUACCUUGUAUACAUACACAAAAUAUAAAAAAAGAGUCAAUUUUUAAAAGUUCAAAGGAUGAAGACACAGAAGAGUGUGAUAAUAAUGAAGUAAAUAUAGAUACAAAAACAGUCAAUGCUAAAAGUAUGAGUGAAGACAAUAAUACUUAUGGGGAUACAUCAGAAUAUUCAAAUAUAAACGAUGAAACUUGUUUCAACAAUGAUUUCGAUAUAAGUGAUUUUAACAAUACAAGUAUAGAUACCAAUACAUAUACUAACGCAACUCAUAAUACUUUAUCAGAUGUAAAGGUUGUUGAAAUAAAUAAAGAGAGUCAGAAUAUAAACGAUAGAACUGAAACGAAACUAUUAAGUUUUAAGAAAGAGGGUUCUAAUUCUUAUUUACUCCGUGACAAAAAUGUUUCAAUAUCAAACACAUUUAAUUAUUUAUUUAACAACGACUAUGGAGAUUUAAGUGAAUUAAAUAAAAUAACUGGUAAUAAUAUUUAUUAUUAUAAGAAAUUAUCUUUAAAUAUUUUGAAUUAUAAUCAUGAAAAAAAGUUAGAGCAAUAUGAUGAUGAUAUUACAUUUGGUACAAGAACAAUGUUAUUUCACCAGCAAAGACCUGAAUUAUAUGAAACGCUUUUUAGAACGAAUUCGUGUGAUAGUGUUUUUUUAAAAAGAAUAAAAGUUACUAACAUAACUAAUAAUUUACGAGAAAAGAGUAUAAAAAAAUACGAAAUCCCAUUUGAGCCUAAUUUUUAUAGUAAUCGCUAUUUUUUUUCAGAUAAAAAUAUAAUCGACGAAUGCCGUGCGAUAAAGGAUAGUUGUACAAAUGAUUGUAAUUUACCUUACAGUAGAAACCAAAAAGUUAACAGUAAUGUAAGUUUAGAUAACUCUAAUAUUAAUAAGAAGGAAAAGAAGAUAUUAAAGAAUUAUUUAAAUUACACUUAUAAAUUACAAUUUGAUGGCCCACCACCACAUUUUUGCAUAGUAAGGUACAAUGAAAUAACGAAAAAAACGAAUGUAGUGAAAAAAGUACCAGUAAAUAAAAAUAUAUCGUUUAAUAUAGCUAAGUAUAUUGCAGAAAAAUAUUUACAAAAUUUAACAAAAUUUAUGCAAAAUAAAGAGAAAAAAUUGAACAGAAAAAAAAGUAAUGAUAUUAAUAAUGAAACUUUAAAUGUAGAAAGUAAUAAUGAUACUAUUAGUGUAUAUAAUAAUGAGAUAAAUAGUGACACUAUACAAAAUACAAAUAAUAUGAAAGGUAUUAAAUGUGAAAGUAAUAAUGAUGUUACUGUAAAUACUUCAAAUAUGGAUGUGGAUGGCAUUAGCAAUAAUAAUGAAAGCAAAUGCUUUAUUGAUAAUGAGAAAAGCGAUAACAAAACGGUUAUAAAUGAAGAACAUGAUAAUAACAGCUGUAAUGACAAUUGUAUUGAUUCUGGAGACAAUAAUGAGAAGAACGAUCAAAUUAAUGAAUGUAACAAUACAAAUAACAUAUUUGUAAAUAGUAAUACUGUUUGUGAUAAUUUGAAAAAUGAUUCUACUGUAGUAGGCAAUGAUAACGAAUUAAAUUACGAAGAUAACAGUGACUGUAUAUAUGAUGAGAAGAUAUGUAAAAAUGAAUAUUUAAAUAUUAAUCUAGACAAUAUAUUGUUUAAUACAAAAACAGAAACAUAUAUAAAAUAUUUAAACAACAUAAAAAUAUAUGUUUUACGAAAAGCAGAUGACAUUCCAAAUACUUCCAUUACUGACAAAGAUUUGUUUGAUAAAAAAUUAGUUAUAAUAGUAAAAAUAAAAUAUGAUACGUAUAUUAAAUCUAAAACUUUUAUUUUUACAAAUUUACCAAAUAUACUAAACGAAUGGUUUUUACAUUAUACAAAUGACAUGUAUGAGAAAGGGGGAGAAAAUGUGAAUAGUUCAAAUAGCAGCAAUAUAGAUAACACUUUGUCAAAUAAUAACAAUUACAGUAAUGUUAAGAUAAAAAGAGAAAAUUGUAAUUCAUGUGAAACUGAUUUAACUAAUGAUUUAUUAAUCAAUGAAAAUGAUUAUGUUGAUUUAUGUACCGAUAGUAUAAAGAAGAGUAAUAGCGUAGAUAGAGAGAGUAGUGUUUGUUUACAUAAUAAUAGGUACGGUAAUAUAUAUACUACUAAAAAUAGAUUGCAAGAUAUGGGCACAUCUGAGAAUGAUGUGAAAAUUGAGAAAGAAAAUGAUAACGGUGACAAUAUGAUGAAUAGUAUCAGAAAUGAUGUUACUAAUAAUUACUUUAGUGAAACUGUUAAUGUUGAAAAAGGCGAACAUACAUUAGAUAUAAAUAGUAACAUACAGCUUACUAUGGAGAAAGAAGAGGGUAAUAAUUACUGUUUAAAUUGCAACUUAAAUAAUAAAGACGGCUAUAAGAAUACGCAUAUAAUUGAUAAUACAAUGAAUAAGCAAAAAAGGGAAAGUGUUGUAAUGGAUUAUAAAAGAAAAAUAAUUAAAUUUAUACGUGACAAUGUAUAUAUAAAUUCUUACUUGUAUGAAUGUUUUGAAAAUAUGUACAAGAAUAGGAAUUUUUUUAAAAAAGAUGUGAUAAUGAUUGAUGCGUCAUCAGAUUCGAUUGAUUUAGUGUAUAAUGUCCCAAAUUACAUUAACGAAUUAAAUAAAUUUAUAUUUAUUAAAUUUAUAAAUUUUGAAGAAUAUAUAAAAAAGAAUAGCAAAAUAGCAGAAAAUUAUGUACAACAUUUACUGCAAAGCAAUUUAAAAUGUAUAAAUGGUUAUAUGAUAGGAUUAAGAUGGGUACCUGAGUAUUUUGCUUAUGAAUAUUAUGUUUGUAAAAUUAUUGAAGGAAGUGCUAAAGAUGCCUACUAUAAUAAUGAUCCCAGAUCUAAUUAUUCAUUAGCUUUACAGAUAGGUUCUAAUGAAAAAUCAGUAAAAUAUUUAGUAGAUUAUGAAAAUAAAAUAAUUAAUAAUGUAUUCUGUGUUUUACAUGAAUAUUAUCAUGCAAGUUUAUUUACAGAAAAAUGUAUUUAUAAUUUAUUUAAAUUAGUGCUUUUACGCGUUAGUAAGUAUAUCGAUGUUCAUCAUAUGCAGGUUGUAACGUUAGAUUUAGAUAAAGCAAUAUAUAGAAUAAAAAAAUUUUCAGAACCCAUAAGUUAUUAUGAUUGUACACAAUCAGAAUAUGAUAAUAAUAGUAUGAAAUGUGAGAAUGUACGAAAACAUACUUAUAGUAGCAAUAAUAUGCAUGGUGGUACUUCUACUACUUCUAAUACAACUGAUAAUGAACAAAACCUAGGUAAAGAUAAAGAUGGUAAUACUUUUGACAAUAAUAAUAAUAAUAAUAAUAAUAAUAAUAAUAACGACAUUUCUAAUAGUUUAAGUACUGGAUAUAAUGAUAUAUACAAUAACCAGAAUAUAAAGACAAAAGAGAGUAUAAAAGAAAGUAUCAAAACAGUAGAUAAUUACAAUGUUGUUGAUGUCGUUGGCAAUAGUAAUGGCACUCUUAUGAUAAAAGAUGAAAAUAAUUUACAAGAAAAUGCAUUAUUUAGCAAUAAAAAUAUAAACACUGAGUAUGUUAAAAAUAAUGAUUAUGAUGUAUUAUAUGCUAACAAAAUGAACAGUGCAUCUUAUAGUGACGAAAAUACAACAAACAAGCAAUCGUAUGUAAAAAAAAUAGCACACCAUGAAUUAUUUAAUAAAGCAAGAGUUGAUAGAAAUAUAAAAGACUUUACAAAAAAUAAAUUGAAGACGAAAAAAAAAGUAAGUUAUAAUUUAGAUAAUACAUCCAUUUCGUUAAAAAAGAAAAGAAAGGAAAAUAGUCGUUUGGGUUUUAAACAAGGAGUCUAUGAUGAAUAUUCUGUAAAAUAUUUUAGUUCUUCAGAAGAGAACAAGUUUCGGAAUAUAAAACAUGAGAAAAUAAAACACAACUAUGCUAGUUCCAGUGAUACUAGUUCUAUUUUUAACUUAGAAUCAACACAUAAAUAUCAUUUACGUAGUAACAAUGCGCAGACGAUGGAUAAUUAUUCUUCUGAAGGAUAUAAUACACGUGGAAAGAUUAAUUUAAAAAACUCAGAUAAAUCACAUAUAUAUGAUGGACUAAUGAAUGAAAAGGGUAUUGUUGAACCAUUUUGGUGGUAUUUUUAUAACAUGUAUGAAAAUACAACAUUAAAAGAGGGAAAUGAUACUUUUAAACCUGAUUGCAACGGUGUUGAUAAUAAGAAUAAGAAUAGUAGUAACAGUAUCAACAAGAGUAACAAAAUGCAUGUAGUAAAAUUAAAUGUAAAAACUAAGAAAAAAUCUGUAUCAAAGAAAAAAAAGGAUAAGAAAAAUGGUUCAAAACAAAAUUCUAAUAAUAACACAAUUGGAAAGGAUAAAAAAAAAAAAAUGAAGAAAAAUAUUAAAAAACGAAACAUGAAUAACAAUGACAUUGUUACUGAAAAAAACAACAUAAUUGAAAUGAUCCGUAAAAGAAAGGAAAAUGCAUUAUAUAAAAAGGUUUUACUAAGAAAGUAUAAAGAUAAUUUAUUAAAUUUUUUUUAUAAAAAAAAAGAUAAUAUAAAAAUUAAGUAUAUUUCGAUGGUUCAUAAUUUAAUAUAUAAAAAAUUUGUUCUUUUGAAUAAUACAAUUUUUCCAAAAACUCUGCACGAAUCUGAUAUAUUAUACACAUUAUUUCCUUACGAAUUACAUACGUUUAUGUUUUUAUUUAUGCAGGAUAAUGGACAAUAUCAGAAUGAGUUAUUUUUGAAACAUGUUACUUUUAAUGAUUAUUUAACAACACUUGAUAAUAAGUUUAAUAAUAUAAAUGAUAAUAGUAUUAAUAAUAGUAUUAAUAAUAAUAGUAUUAAUAAUAAUAGUAUUAAUAAUAAUAGUAUUAAUAAUAACAGUAUUAAUAAUAACAGUAUUAAUAAUAACAGUAUUAAUAAUAACAGUAUUAAUAAUAACAGUAUUAAUAAUAACAGUAUUAAUAAUAACAGUAUUAAUGAUAGUAAGAUAGAAAAUGUAGAAAAUUUUGAAUUUUUUAGAAACUUAAAUAAUAAAUUAAAUUCUUAUUAUAAUGCAGGCAUUUUACCCAUAGAUAGAUGUUAUAUCGAAGAAAAUAUUAAUAAUAAUAAUGUUUCUACUACAUUAGGGACAGAUUUUUAUUUAGAUCAUUUAAUUAUUGGUGGUGAUAAUAAAACAUAUGAUACUAAUGAUCCAUUUGAUUUUUUUGACAUUAAAUAAUAAUAAAUGUAAUGAUAUCAAUGAUAUUGAUACUAAU
ensembl:lncRNA